rnacentral:lncRNA from 1 species
UGCCGAGUAUGGUAGAGGCUUUGCCAAGUAUACGUAUUUGGGCCUUUGCCGAGUGACAGAACCACUCGGCAAAGCUCCUGUGUCCGGUAGUGUAUCAAGAAAGUUCUAUUGAAAUAGUUAGAAUGACUUGGGAUCGUGAUAGAUCGAACGCACGAGAUCUGAGAUCGUGAGUUCAAUAUCCUACGUGUGAAAAUUGCAUGACUUAUGAGUUAUAAGGCUAUCUGGGGUGGUCGUU